ACAUCAUCCCACCAGUAUCACUUUGUUUCUGAGAAUAAGACCUGGACUGAAGCUCAGAGAUACUGCAGACAGAGUUACACUGAUCUGGCCACCAUUGAUAACAUGGAGGAAAUGAACAGGCUGAUUAACACAGUUAAUGGGAGUUACAAUGGUUCAGCCUGGAUUGGACUGUAUGAUGAUGGGAACAGCUGGAGAUGGUCUUUGGAAGAUAAUGACUUCUAUCAGGAAGGAGAGAAAGAUUUCAGGAACUGGUAUCAUGAACCUGACAACUUUGGUGGAAAAGAAAUGUGUGUUCACAUGUAUUACAGAACCUGGUUUGAUUCAUCAUGUGACAAUGAGCAUACAUUUGUUUGCUAUGAUGGUAGAGAAAACACCUCUCAGAAGUAUAUCUGGGUAUCUGAAGGAAGAACCUGGACUGGAGCUCAGAGCUACUGCAGAGAGAAAUACACAGACCUGGCCAGUGUGAGAAAUGAGACUGAGAGUCAACAAAUACUGAAUGUCACAUAUGAAAAUUCUGUAUGGAUUGGUCUGCACAGAAACAGACUGUGGUCAGAUCAGAGCAACUCUUCUUUCACAUUUUGGAGACAAAUGGUCAGGAGUAAAAUUGCACAGCCAGAUAAUGGUUUGAACACACCAGGAUGGGCUGGUACUCAACACUGCACAGCGGUGUCUUUACAACAAUUUGGCCAGUGGACAGAUGAGCGAUGCUUGGACAGUUUGCCUUUUUUCUGCUACAGUGGUGAUACGGUGGGGUUGAGAGUGGAAUUCACAAGUGUGGAAAGUUUGUCAAAGUCUCAGAUUGAAGACUUGGUGAUUAUUCAACUCCAUGAAGAAUUUAUAAGGCAGGGACUUCCCAGCAACUUCACCUUCACCAUGCAUUUGAGAAACUAUCGUAAAAAAAAUCCAUGAGAGACUAGGGCAGCAUUUCUGUACACAAAGAAAAUUGUUUUAGGUUUCAGUUUUUUAAGUUGAUGAAUUUCCUCUAAAGUUUGCAGUGCAUAUUUUCCCCUGUAAUUUUCUG